rnacentral:lncRNA from 1 species
GAGAGGCUGAGACUAACCCAGAAACAUCCAAUUCUCAAACUGAAGCUCGCACUCUCGCCUCCAGCAUGAAAGUCUCUGCCGCCCUUCUGUGCCUGCUGCUCAUAGCAGCCACCUUCAUUCCCCAAGGGCUCGCUCAGCCAGAUGCAAUCAAUGCCCCAGUCACCUGCUGUUAUAACUUCACCAAUAGGAAGAUCUCAGUGCAGAGGCUCGCGAGCUAUAGAAGAAUCACCAGCAGCAAGUGUCCCAAAGAAGCUGUGAUGUGAGUUCAGCACACCAACCUUCCCUGGCCUGAAGUUCUUCCUUGUGGAGCAAGGGACAAGCCUCAUAAACCUAGAGUCAGAGAGUGCACUAUUUAACUUAAUGUACAAAGGUUCCCAAUGGGAAAACUGAGGCACCAAGGGAAAAAGUGAACCCCAACAUCACUCUCCACCUGGGUGCCUAUUCAGAACACCCCAAUUUCUUUAGCUUGAAGUCAGGAUGGCUCCACCUGGACACCUAUAGGAGCAGUUUGCCCUGGGUUCCCUCCUUCCACCUGCGUUCCUCCUCUAGCUCCCAUGGCAGCCCUUUGGUGCAGAAUGGGCUGCACUUCUAGACCAAAACUGCAAAGGAACUUCAUCUAACUCUGUCCUCCCUCCCCACAGCUUCAAGACCAUUGUGGCCAAGGAGAUCUGUGCUGACCCCAAGCAGAAGUGGGUUCAGGAUUCCAUGGACCACCUGGACAAGCAAACCCAAACUC